UAGCGGUCGAGGUGCAGAGGGAGGGGGAUCGACAGGGAGGGGGAUCGUCCGACGACAAUCAUAAUAGUUCUCUAUCGCUUGUUGUGAAACAAACAUCAGCAUGUUAAGGGACUUCUACGCAUUUAACGGGCAAUUGAAAACGGGGAACUAUCCUAGCGUGGAGAAAGUCUCUAUAGCGGUGGAUAAACAGUCAAUAUGGUAAGCCCCUUCUGUGGACUGUAGCCUAGGUAUGCAGCAACAGGCUGAACGAGUUUCCUGCCUGGCGUGCUGCCUGGCGUGCUUCCUGGCUACCUGAAACAACUUCUGAUGGACAAUGACCCAACACACCUCCAGGUUGGACAAUGACACCUUAACAGGACAAUGACCCAACACACCUCCAGGUUGGACAAUGACACCUUAACAAGACAAUGACCCAACACACCUCCAAUUCCCAAAGAGCGUCUCCGAUCAGGAAAGCUGAUGUUGUCAGGUACGGUGGACUGGCUGGGACGAGCGGUUGUCGUCACUGAAACGCACCUCCCUGAGGACGGUUGCCGUGAGGAUGAGAUGGGCCGUGUCUUAGCCUGCUAUCACAGGGUAACCCUGUAAAUCACCUGUCACUAUGUCAAACUCUGUCAGUACAAUAUUACAGUCUAGUCUGGGGGGACCCUUUAUAGCGUAACACUCACAGCACUACUGGCAGUGUAAAAAACUCUGUGAUACUUUAUAUAGUGGUUUUGUAGUAGCCUGGGUACCUUCUGUUUAGCUAACAUUCCACUC